UACGGAGGGUGCAAGCGUUAUCCGGAUUCACUGGGUUUAAAGGGCGCGUAGGCGGGCUUGCAAGUCUGCGGUGAAAGCCUCCAGCUCAACUGGAGAAGUGCCGUGGAUACUGCGGGCCUCGAGGAGGGUAGGGGCAUCUGGAACGUUGGGUGGAGCGGUGAAAUGCGUUGAUAUCCAACGGAACUCCGGUGGCGAAGGCGAGGUGCUGGACCCUUUCUGACGCUGAGGCGCGAAAGCCAGGGGAGCGAACGGG
rnacentral:rRNA from 1 species